rnacentral:rRNA from 1 species
GAUGAACGCUGGCGGCGUGCCUAAUACAUGCAAGUCGAGCGAAUGGAUUAAGAGCUUGCUCUUAUGAAGUUAGCGGCGGACGGGUGAGUAACACGUGGGUAACCUGCCCAUACGACUGGGAUAACUCCGGGAAACCGGGGCUAAUACCGGAUCACAUUUUGAACCGCAUGGUUCGAAAUUGAAAGGCGGCUUCGGCUGUCACUUAUGGAUGGACCCGCGUCGCAUUAGCUAGUUGGUGAGGUAACGGCUCACCAAGGCAACGAUGCGUAGCCGACCGGAGAGGGUGAUCGGCCACACUGGGACUGAGACACGGCCCAGACUCCUACGGGAGGCAGCAGUAGGGAAUCUUCCGCAAUGGACGAAAGUCUGACGGAGCAACGCCGCGUGAGUGAUGAAGGCUUUCGGGUCGUAAAACUCUGUUGUUAGGGAAGAACAAGUGCUAGUUGAAUAAGCUGGCACCUUGACGGUACCUAACCAGAAAGCCACGGCUAACUACGUGCCAGCAGCCGCGGUAA